GAGAGGGGGAGUGAGUCAUAUCAUAUGCGGGAUUAUUAACAUCACAGUGUUUUAAAAAGUCUAAAAAGAACUGCGAGGAAGAGAGAUAGCGUGAGAGUUAAAAGAAAAAAAUCUCAUUGGAGUUUGCUCAUAGAAGAAAGUGCGUAAGAUAAUGUCUGUAGCGUUGUAAAUAAAGUCAAUUGCGUUCACUGUUCUAGCACAGUCCUUAUUAAUGGAGAAUGUAAGUUGACUUUCUUUGGUCCUUUGAAGAUCAUGGUGGUCCUUUGAGCAAGUCUGGAGGACAAUAAAAGACUAUGACAAUAGUCAAAGGCCAUUGGAAGCAAUGAUAUUAUCAAUGAAAUAUGUGAAGUCACUCAUCAGAUUUCCCCAGUCCCUGUGACACCACUGGGCUGACAAUGAUCCCAGACGGACAGAAUUUCUCACCUUUACGGAUCAAUACAACAAGCCAAUUUUGAAAAGGAAUCAAUUGGGCUGGAGAAAAUCCUUUAUGGAAUUGAAGAGCCCAGAGAGGACCAGGCCAAGAACACAAAGCACUUAGAAAGAAACCGCCUAUGAAUGUGGGUUCAAGCCACGCGCCAGGACUUCGAA